ACCAGACUCCUACGGGAGGCAGCAGUGGGGAAUAUUGCACAAUGGGGGGAACCCUGAUGCAGUGACGCCGCGUGGGCGAUGGAGUGCUUCGGCAUGUAAAGCCCUAUCAGCAGGGAAGAAAAUGACGGUACCUGAGUAAGAAGCCCCGGCUAACUACGUGCCAGCAGCCGCGGUAAUACGUAGGGGGCAAGCGUUAUCCGGAUUUACUGGGUGUAAAGGGAGCGUAGACGGCAGUGCAAGUCUGGAGUGAAAGGCGGGGGCUCAACCCCCGGACUGCUCUGGAAACUGUACGGCUGGAGUGCAGGAGAGGUAAGUGGAAUUCCUAGUGUAGCGGUGAAAUGCGUAGAUAUUAGGAGGAACACCAGUGGCGAAGGCGGCCUGCUGGACGAUGACUGACGUUGAGGCUCGAAAGCGUGGGGAGCAAACAGGAUUAGAUACCCCAGUA
rnacentral:rRNA from 1 species